rnacentral:tRNA from 1 species
GGGGCUAUAGCUCAGCCGGAUAGAGCGACGGCCUCCUAAGCCGUAGGUCGCAGGUUCGAAUCCUGCUAGCCCCGCCA